rnacentral:rRNA from 1 species
UACGUAGGGUGCAGGCGUUAAUCGGAAUUACUGGGCGUAAAGCGUGCGCAGGCGGUUUGCUAAGACAGGUGUGAAAUCCCCGGGCCUAACCUGGGAACUGCAUUUGUGACUGCAUGGCUAGAGUUUGUCAGAGGGGGGUGGAAUUCCACGUGUAGCAGUGAAAUGCGUAGAUAUGUGGAGGAACACCGAUGGCGAAGGCAGCCCCCUGGGAUGUGACUGACGCUCAUGUACGAAAGCGUGGGGAGCAAACAGG